AAAUUAUUUGUAUUAUUAGAUAAGUUCAAACAUAUUAUUAGUAGACAUUAGAAUAAUAGAUACCAUCGUUUGCCUUCUAAAAUGAAAAUAUUUUGUUGAAAUGCAUACAAUUAAGUAUAAACACGUGGGAAUAAACACAUCGCUAUUCACUUUCAAUUAGAAUAUUGUAGGUACUAUUAUAUAUUUUUUCGCUAGGUUAGAAUGAAUUCACAGCGCAAUUAUAUUUUGUGUACACUGUACAUAUAAUUUUAUACUGCAGCUCUGAAAUCUGCUUCCCUACAUAUUUUAUCUUGUCUGUAUUUUGUAGUUUCAUAUACAUUACACUGUCUUACUUU